CACAAGCUAAUUGAUGAUUUGGAUGAGUGGAUCAGAGGACGACAUGAGCAGGUAUUUCCAUUUGAUCAUACCCAAAAUGAUAAUGUAUACCCUAACUUAAGAUGAUGGCUCUUCUACUCUGCUAACAUAACAUGCAUGUGCUUGUGUGGAGUGCCUGCAAAAUUAAUAUCUCAAGUCUCUCAACACGCAGAUGUGGAGAGGGUUCUCCUAGCGGUCAUUGCAACUGUGAUAUGCAUUUCCUUGCUCUCGGCUUUGAUCAAGUUUGUAGCGUCUGGGAAUGUGCAUAUGAAAAUCCACACGUGCGAUUUGGUUGUUAUAUUUUUUCCACACUGGUUUCUAGAGAUGUUCAAGUUAUCUCAUAUACUAUAUCGAACUAUAAUGGAUAAGUUAGUGUACAUACUGAUUUGAAGAUCCUUUUGCUGUCAUACACAUAUUACUGCAGGACCAUAGCGGACCAUUGCAAUGCGGCAAAUCAAAUUUCAAUACUCAACACUCUUCUAUGUGGAUUAACGAAGGGCAUGACGGAUGGCACCGGCGGAAAGGUGAGCGCCGGUGGAGAUAAGCGAGAAAAGGAGCAGCGCGAGGCGGUAGGCAGCCUUGAAGAGGAUGAGAGGGCCCGCUGCUAGGGGAUGGUCCUAGGGAUUUUUGAAUCAACGAGAGCAGUGUCGGCCCAGGUAUCUUCUUCCAUCUCUGGAUCCUAAACUAUAUAUCUCUCUAAUCUGCAUUGACACGCAGUAGUGCCGGGUACAAGUGUGUGGCUGCUCCAGUGCCACCACAGUCCCCAGUACC